rnacentral:rRNA from 1 species
GACGAACGCUGGCGGCGUGCUUAACACAUGCAAGUCGAACGGAAAGGCCCUGCUUUUGUGGGGUGCUUGAGUGGCGAACGGGUGAGUAACACGUGAGUAACCUGCCCUUGACGUUGGGAUAACUUCAGGAAACUGGGGCUAAUACCGGAUAUGAGCUCCUGCUGCAUGGUGGGGGUUGGAAAGUUUCGGCGGGUGGGGAUGGACUCGCGGCUUAUCAGCUUGUUGGUGGGGUAGUGGAAUACCAAGGCUUUGACGGGUAGCCGGCCUGAGAGGGUGACCGGCCACAAUGGGCCUGAGAUACGGCCCAGUCUCCUACGGGAGGCAGCAGUCGGGAGUAUUGCACAGUGGGCGGGAGCCUGAUACGGCGGCGCCGCGUGCGGGAUGCCGGCCUUCGGGUUGUGAACCGCUUUCGCCUGUGACGAAGCGUGAGUGACGGUAAUGGGUAAAGAAGCACCGGCUAACUACGUG